rnacentral:sRNA from 1 species
CCGGGUGCCUAGGACUCCGACUUUCUCUGGGAGGAAAACAAGGUGGACGCUGCACCUGCGUCACUGCCCUGCAUCACCGUUUGGUUUGGUUGGGAUGUUCCAGUAAUUCUGAGAAAUUCAGAAGAGACCCAGUUCAGCACAAGAGUUUUCAAAAAGCAAAUGAGACAAGUCAAGAAUCCUUUUGGCGUAGAGAUCACUAAUCCAUCUUCAGCUUCAAUUACAACUGGCAUAACCUUGACAACAGAUUGCCUUGAAGAUAGCCUCCUUACAUGCUACUGGGGGUGCAGUGUUCAAAAAUUAUAUGAAGCUCUGCAGAAGCACGUUUAUUGCUUCAGAAUAAGCACUCCCCAAGCAUUAGAAGAUGCUCUGUAUAGUGAAUAUCUAUUAAAAAGGAUAGCAAAGAAGAAAUAUAUUGCCAGUUGCCAAGAGAUACAAAAAUUGAAGACUUUGGUACAGUACCCAGAUCUCGCUAUCCAUUGGUAGCGCUAUUGACCUUAGCUGAUGAGGAUGACCGGGAAAUUUAUGAUAUUGUAAGUAAUUGAAAAAUUUGAAAGCAUUACCUCUAAGUGAUUUGAAUGGUGGUUCUUCAUUAUUUGA